CUGGGAGUUGUAGUUUUGAAACAUCUGGAGGGCCACAGUUUGAGAGCACUGAUUUGGAGGGUACCAACCUUAAACUGAUUCUAAGCUCCCGGCGGUGACAGAGUUAAGUUGGUGAACGCUGUCACAUCCACCGCGUCUUAUAUCAGGGAUUUCAAAGACUGAAGAGCGCGAACAUCGGUGUGAAUGACAGAAACGCCACAGAAAACCGGAGGAAGAUGGAGGGGCAAUCAUCAUGUAAUAUACUCCGGAACUCACUAUUCUGCUGGGUCUGCUUCAUCAGGGGACAGAGAUGAGAAGUUGGUACAACCAAAAAGUUGAAGUAUCGGAGCAAAGAUGACAAGCAGGUCACAUGAUGACAUGCUGAGGUGGAAAUGACGACUCCAGGAGGGACGGGUCUGACAACAUUCCUGUUGACCGUCUCCAAUAGCAACCAGCAAAAUUGUGAAUGAGACGAGAAUGGAGUGAACAUUGCAUGUACUUACCUGAUGGAAACUACCAUCGCCUUCAGAGAGCAGCGCCAUUUAUUGGUAAAGUCUCCUUUUUAGAGCAACAUCACAGCCGGGACGAGAAUGUCACAAAACUGCGACUCUUCGUGGAUUUCGAAAGUGAAAAAUAAGACGUUUCAAACCAAACAAUGUAACGGGAGCUGAACGCUGUAAUUUAAUGUCCGACCGCACGAACAACGUGUUGGGCUGUCACGCGAUGUCUGAAG